GAUGAACGCUGGCGGCGUGCCUAAUACAUGCAAGUCGAGCGAACAGACGAGGAGCUUGCUCCUCUGACGUUAGCGGCGGACGGGUGAGUAACACGUGGAUAACCUACCUAUAAGACUGGGAUAACUUCGGGAAACCGGAGCUAAUACCGGAUAAUAUAUUGAACCGCAUGGUUCAAUAGUGAAAGACGGUUUUGCUGUCACUUAUAGAUGGAUCCGCGCCGCAUUAGCUAGUUGGUAAGGUAACGGCUUACCAAGGCGACGAUGCCUAGCCGACCUGAGAGGGUGAUCGGCCACACUGGAACUGAGACACGGUCCAGACUCCUACGGGAGGCAGCAGUAGGGAAUCUUCCGCAAUGGGCGAAAGCCUGACGGAGCAACGCCGCGUGAGUGAUGAAGGUCUUCGGAUCGUAAAACUCUGUUAUUAGGGAAGAACAAAUGUGUAAGUAACUAUGCACGUCUUGACGGUACCUAAUCAGAAAGCCACGGCUAACUACGUG
rnacentral:rRNA from 1 species